GAGCUAAAGAAUUUUGUAAUCGAAAUAUAUUUGUAUACUCGUUAAAUGCAUAAUAAGCUAAGUACAUCAAGUGUGUGAAAAACUUCAAGAAGUUGAGCGCUCCUUGAAGAUUCUGAUAUGGAAAAUUCACCAAAAUUGCCAAGUUAAUUGUUAUUGUUAAUUGUUAGCCUAUUGAGUCUGCGAAGUCUGCUAAUCUGGGCUCAUAUUUUGGACAUAAGCUAAGCUACGUUUUGAAUCUGAUCUGUUUGUAUUGCCAUUUUAUACAAAUAAUUACAUACAAUACAUAUAGUAAUAAAAUCUUUGUUUACAAAUACAUAAUAUUUUACAAUAUUAUCCAUUAGGUAUAAUAGUUAUAUUAAACAUAUUAGAAUGCGUUCGUCUUUUUUGUUUGUUACAACUAACAUUUAAAUAAGUUUGAAUAAAAUGCUUAAAUCGUAAACGUAAAUAUAAUGAAAAAGAAUUACACACACACAAUAAUCAGCAAAUCAGAGGGGACAAAAAUAUUGAGGAAUAUAAAAGAGUUGAUAAAAGAAUACACAUAUGUAGAAACAUUCAAUUUAUGUCGAGUUCCAUAAUUGAACUCUAAAGUAACUAGGCAAUUUUAGUUUUGGGUUUUGUUGAGUGCGCGCAUUCUUUUGUUAAGUACGAGUAAACUAGGCCUAAUACGUAUUUUAGUUAAUCUUCGUAUUUUUUUUUUUGGUUUUAGUGUUCAAAGCGGCAACAAAAGGCAACUGUGGUGUCGUUUUGUAAGCUAUAAGUACACUUGAUUUGUCUUUCUUGUAUUUUUUUUUCCUUUUUAUGUUACUUUUUCAUUGUUUCGUUCAAUUUUUUUU